AACGAACGCUGGCGGCAUGCCUAACACAUGCAAGUCGAACGAGACCUUCGGGUCUAGUGGCGCACGGGUGCGUAACACGUGGGAAUCUGCCCUUUGCUUCGGAAUAACAGUUAGAAAUGACUGCUAAUACCGGAUGAUGUCGAAAGACCAAAGAUUUAUCGGCAAAGGAUGAGCCCGCGUAGGAUUAGGUAGUUGGUGGGGUAAAGGCCUACCAAGCCGACGAUCCUUAGCUGGUCUGAGAGGAUGAUCAGCCACACUGGGACUGAGACACGGCCCAGACUCCUACGGGAGGGAGCAGUGGGGAAUAUUGGACAAUGGGCGAAAGCCUGAUCCAGCAAUGCCGCGUGAGUGAUGAAGGCCUUAGGGUUGUAAAGCUCUUUUACCAGGGAUGAUAAUGACAGUACCUGGAGAAUAAGCCCCGGCUAACUCCGUG
rnacentral:rRNA from 1 species